AAUGGGGGAAACCCUGAUCCAGCGACGCCGCGUGAGUGAAGAAGUAUUUCGGUAUGUAAAGCUCUAUCAGCAGGGAAGAAAAUGACGGUACCUGACUAAGAAGCCCCGGCUAACUACGUGCCAGCAGCCGCGGUAAUACGUAGGGGGCAAGCGUUAUCCGGAUUUACUGGGUGUAAAGGGAGCGUAGACGGCACUGCAAGUCUGGAGUGAAAGCCCGGGGCUCAACCCCGGGACUGCUUUGGAAACUGUGGUGCUGGAGUGCAGGAGAGGUAAGUGGAAUUCCUAGUGUAGCGGUGAAAUGCGUAGAUAUUAGGAGGAACACCAGUGGCGAAGGCGGCUUACUGGACUGUAACUGACGUUGAGGCUCGAAAGCGUGGGGAGCAAA
rnacentral:rRNA from 1 species